GCACUGUUGAUCUGGCUGCGACAUCUGUCACUCCAUUGAUCGCCGGGAUUGAUUCCGCUGAUCUGGCUGGCUAAGCGGGUGUCCCCUUCCUCCCUCAAUACUCCAUGUGUGUCCCUCCCGAAGCUGCGCCCUCGCAGGACGGCUGUUCCCGAACAGAGCCAGUCUUCGGUCUAGGCUAUACGAGGGUAUAGCUGAACUCCUCCCUGCUGGAACCCCCAUGAGAAGUAUAUAAAUAUAUUUUGAUAAUCUGAAUCCUAACUUC
rnacentral:sRNA from 1 species